AGUCGAGCGAGUCUGCCUUGAAGAUCGGAGUGCUUGCACUCUGUGAAACAAGAUACAGGCUAGCGGCGGACGGGUGAGUAACACGUGGGUAACCUGCCCAAGAGAUCGGGAUAACACCUGGAAACAGAUGCUAAUACCGGAUAACAACAGAUGAUGCCUAUCAACUGUUUAAAAGAUGGUUCUGCUAUCACUCUUGGAUGGACCUGCGGUGCAUUAGCUAGUUGGUAGGGUAACGGCCUACCAAGGCGAUGAUGCAUAGCCGAGUUGAGAGACUGAUCGGCCACAUUGGGACUGAGACACGGCCCAAACUCCUACGGGAGGCAGCAGUAGGGAAUCUUCCACAAUGGACGCAAGUCUGAUGGAGCAACGCCGCGUGAGUGAAGAAGGGUUUCGGCUCGUAAAGCUCUGUUGUUGGUGAAGAAGGACAGGGGUAGUAACUGACCUUUGUUUGACGGUAAUCAAUUAGAAAGUCACGGCUAACAACGUGCCAGCAGCCGCGGUAAUACGUAGGUGGCAAGCGUUGUCCGGAUUUAUUGGGCGUAAAGCGAGUGCAGGCGGCUCGAUAAGUCUGAUGUGAAAGCCUUCGGCUCAACCGGAGAAUUGCAUCAGAAACUGUCGAGCUUGAGUACAGAAGAGGAGAGUGGAACUCCAUGUGUAGCGGUGAAAUGCGUAGAUAUAUGGAAGAACACCGGUGGCGAAGGCGGCUCUCUGGUCUGUUACUGACGCUGAGGCUCGAAAGCAUGGGUAGCGAACAGGAUUAGAUACCCUGGUAGUCCAUGCCGUAAACGAUGAGUGCUAAGUGUUGGGAGGUUUCCGCCUCUCAGUGCUGCAGCUAACGCAUUAAGCACU
rnacentral:rRNA from 1 species